ACCCUACGGUAACAGAGAGUCAAGUCAGUGCCGACGUGCAGUUACACGAGAAGAUGGAACGUUUUAAAGAAUCCUGUUUUUCGAAAAUUGUUUAAACUCUGUUUGCAAGGAAGAGGGAAAAGAGAGCAAGAGCAUACCAGAAGAACUUUGUGCAUUUUAUCAGGAGAAUAUAAAAAUAAUUUACGUUCUCUAUAUUAAUUUUUUUAAAUUUUUUCUAAUACUUCAGUUUUGUGUGUACUUUAGUUUUGUGAGGCACUGCAUCUUUAAUUUAUGGAACUCGUACUUUCGUGGCAUUUCCGUUAGUUUUCAACCUAGUUACCUAGAUCACGCAUCUAUGCUGUUUCAUGAGAACCACAAAAAGUUGAAACUAUUAUAUAUUGAGUAAAAAAUGAAGAAUAUGCGUAUAAAAUAUCCUAUUCAAACUUAAAGUAGCAUGUUUUAAUAUGCAUAUCAUAUAAAAUAAAAAAUUGUAAUUUAAAGUAUUACGUUACUUGAUAUAACAGAAAAUAUCUGUCCAUCACAUUUAUUGGAAUAACUUUAAAUAAUCGCAAAAUAUCACUGUAAUUUUUAUUAGAAAGAAUACAUCAUUCUCUUUUAUAUCAACAAAUUUAUCUAUAAAAAUCUAUAUAUCUUUAUAGAUCUCUAUCGUGUAUAAAUCAUACAAGAUUGUUUACUCGAAAUAACUUCUCCAAUAAAUUAUCAAAUUUUUUUGCCGUCAAGCAGUAUUCAGUACGUAUCCGGACACGGCUAUUGCGUGCGACGUUGUUCAAUCGUAUCGAAUCCGAUCGACCCGCGCGCGGGCAAGGGCGCCGAAGGAAAUUCGCGUAAUCGAGCACGAGGUGACGAAUCCUCCUCUGGCGAAUCGAGGUCGCAUCGCCGUUCCACUUUAGCGGUUAUGGCAGGCUGUACAUACAGAAAAGUCGCGCGCGGAGCACGGGAGAGAGAGAAAAAAAAAGAAAUGAGAGAAGAACAGAAAACGAGAAACGCUUAUGCCGUGCACCUACACUCAAUAAUCAGAUUUUCCUAUUUUCGGCACGACGUUGCCAGCUCCUGGCCAGCACGCGAACUCCUGGCCGCACCGCCGUUGCCGCGUUGACUUUUAGCCUGUCAACCCACCUUCUUGUAUACAGAAGAUAACGCGUGUUUGAAAAAUUUUGCAUUUACAUAGUAGAUACUACUAGAUCUGUAACUAGAUACGCAAUUAGAUAAUUCAACAUAACUGAUAACUAGAUAGGGAAAAAAUAGGAAAACGUGAAGUUGUCGUUUCUGUAUAUGCAUUGCAGAGCUGCUAUAGUUCAAACACAAUUUCUAUGAUGUCAUGUUCCAAACGUUCAUGCAGUUGCACACUAUUAAUCUUAUUUCACUAGUUAUGUAGAUAGGAUAAAAAAAAACUCGCCAGAUAAUUCGAGCACGGGCAAUCGAGAACGCAAACAUAAAUUGCAAUCGAGGAACGUAGGUUGGCGCGUUAUCAUCAAUCUAUAUAUGUAUAUCCAUAACUCCAAGUGUCGAAAAGUGUCUUUUAUUUUCACCGAGUGAUUUCAUACGGGGAAACGAUUGCUCGGUCCCGUUCUUCCCUCCCGUCGUCUUUCCGCGUCGAGGCACGCGCAAAUACACCCACGCGUGCAGGCGAAACCGACCGAUGCGAUGUUCGUCGCACGCUCGCACGUUCGAGAACGAAUGCGAAUGCUGAGAAACGUCAUCGCUACGUGUAAAGAACGCGAUGUGCGCUGCGGAGCAUCGUACGAAGUUAGCUCUAUCCUUUUUAUCCUUCGAUGUAAUGCACAUAUAUAAUUAUCUUAGCAUAUGCAACUGUAUCAUUUUUCGUCAUACUCGAAGCAUGCGCAUUCAAACAACGCGCAAUAACGCGUUAUUUCCAUGAAUUGUGCUUUCAUUCCUAAUGUCGUGUGUAACGAUCUCGUGAUCUCACCAAUCAUAUGGCCAGUAUAAUGACUCGAUAGUACCUAGCGUAGGUAGGUAUCUGAUAAUGUUCUGACGUGACGUCACGCGCAAAUCCGUCGCCGCGCCUUUCAACGUCGUCGUAUCGUUAGUCGUAUCGAUCAUGUAAUAGUGGCGUCUGUGAGGUGGGCUAAAUGGAUCCGUGACGUCACGAUCGCAGCUCGGUGGACUCAGCGUACGUUUAGCGAUCACGUAAUUACUCGAUGAUAAUUUAAUACAUCAACUUGAGGGCGUCAGUUCGGUGGUUCACGCGCGUGAAUCUCCGACAAAUAUUAUCAUGGAACUGUAAUGAGGCAAAUAAUAAUCAUGGCAAGAAAUUAUACAUGAUAGUAAUAAUCGAUUUGCGCGGUUAAGACUUUCUGAAUUUCGACAAAUCAUUGUAAUAAUACCUCGAUUUUCGAGCUGUCUCGCGUUUGCGACGCGAAAAAUACGGCACGAUCCACGCAAAUGCUAUUUCUGAUUUUCACGCGAUCUCGACGCGGAAUGCGAGGAGGAGUAGCAAGGAGGAAGGGAAGAGAGAGAGGGGGCAUAUAUCGGCAUCGGGCGAAUAAAGCGCGGAAUGUAUGGAUAGAUCGCGCUGCCGAUUCCAUUAAAGUCUGGAUUAUGUCUUCUCGGAACGCGCACGGAGAGCUACAGCUACCGUAUCCGUUCGUUCGCCGUUAAUUACCGCAGCGUAAUCGAUGACGUAGAGGACACUGCUGCAGUGGAGCUGCCACCUCGCAUCAUCGAUGAUUUACGCGCAACGCGAGUCGCGCAGUGAAUGGGUUUCUGCCGAAGAAACAACCUGAGAGCUAACCUUAUUCACUCUCUCCGAGAGUGAACUCCGAGAUUGAAUUUUCUUCGAGUAUCUCACGUAACACGAACGACCGUGCAUACCGCAGUGUUACCGACCGUAUUAUAAACCAUCAACCUUCCAUCGCGACAACCUGAGCGACUUCAUCUUGCCGUUCCCGCCGCGAAAAAGAAAAUAGCAAAAAAAAUGUAGAGAGAUGACGGGUAAAACGAACAAAUCUCUUCGAUGAGAAUGCGAACCUACUUCGAACGAUCGAGAAAGCAAGGAGGAGAGAUGUGACCUAUAUUUUUAGGCACGAGCGGAAGGACCGCUACGUGCUAUAUUGCGCGCUCAAUGAAAGCGAGAAUGAGAAGACAGACACUGUAAGAGCGAAAGGAUUAUGAAAAUGUUGGGAAUAUAGAGAGGAUCAAACGGUUUGCUGUUCAAACGUGUUUUAAGGAAAAGGAUCAGGAAAGAAAACAAAAAAAGAGAGAAACGGCAAUGAGUGCAUCGAGAAGUUAUGCGGAAUAACGAGUUCGAGGAAAAUGACACGCGCACGCGGUGUUCAACACGUAACCUUAAAUGGACUUACGGUAUACAUUGUAAGCGCAAAUAGAUGACAUAACUGCGAUAAACGGAAGCUCAUUGGACGCUAAAAUUCCAGAGUGAAUCUGAAAAUGUGUCGCGUACGCGCACUACCGUCUUGAUCGUCUGCGGGAUCAUCGAUAAUGACGAUCGAUGAUCUACGGUGAUCGAUAGCGCUGCCAGGAGAGCACGAGGCUCGAGGAGGUCGCGCGAGUCUGCUGGGAAGUGGCAACUCGGACUGCGUGCCGGUGAAAGGCUUGUUUAUUCAGAGGCGGAGGCGGCGCGCAGCGCAAAAUUCGCUCAAUUCAUUAAGAUCUAACUCCAAUGGCGUCCAUAAGAAAAAUAUAUAUUAUAACUGACAAUGAGUAUAAGUAUAUAUCAAACUAUACACAGCUAUAUUUUCUUAUAAACUGUUUAUACAACAAUCCGUUUUAGACGCCAACAAGAUUGUAAAAUACUUUCCGAGCGCUUAACUUCUCUUUUAAGUUUCAUCUCUUUUACUUUUCACGUUAUUCUUAAGUCAUUGCUAUGCACAUUUGCAGCACGUCUCUGUGCUUUGUUCGGAACCGCGAUGUUCCGAAGCGCAGCGAGUUUUAAGGCUACAUUGCUCCAAGAACCUGCGAACCAAUAACAACCGCGCAUUACUCUCGUUACGCAAACCGCAUUGUGCAACCGCACAGUGCGGCAAAGUUUAAUACGCUUAAUGUAUAAAUAACGCUAACGUGCACUGCCAACUGUACACGACUACUACACACGACUGUGCGUAAAUUCGCAACAGCGACAACGCACCUCGCUGCGCUUGCUUUGCAGGCACUUUCGUGAGAACGCACGUGCGCGUUCAGCUUCCUCGAAAAUUCUUCUCGACUUGGAAGUUUAUUAUUUAAAAAAUAAACAUCUUUUUUCUUU